CUUACGAACCUGCAGGGGCAGGGGGUUUCCCAGGACCCCAAGAGCACAAGGAUAUCUGGGUCAGGAGCCACAGCCGGGUGGCUGCCACUGCACCUGGGAACACUGGGCUCCUGAUUGUUCCCAGCCCUUGCCAGCUCCACAGAUUGCACAUCCCCAGUCAAGCCUCCUCCACUGCAGCUGGCUUCCAUGUAGUAGCUGUUCCAGAUGGGCCACCACUGCCACCAAGAAGAUGAACAACAAGAACAUAGCAAGAAACACGACUUCGGAUAUAGCAAAAAGAAAAAUGGGACUGAAAGAAAUUACCUUUCUACUUGACCCCAAGAUGCACUGUCAUGUCAUUUAUUCUGCAAAUGCAUCAGCCUGGCCUAUGUCUGGAGAACACACAGAGGAUAAUUCUAACAAUGUCAAAUCUAGUGGAAAAACAGCCUAUUGCGAGCACCCCUAUGAGGAGAGAGGUCCAUCUGAAGACGAAUUGAUAUCUCUCAUCAACAGCCAGUAAAAUUCUGAGGCCUGCCUAUAGCUACAUGAGUGAGUGUGAAAGAGCGUCUUUUGAGGCCUACUGUCAGUCCCUUUGACAAGUUUUGGGGUGGAUUAUCUUCCAAUUCAGCUCUAAGAUGACUGUGGCUAAAUAACAUCUUGGAUAAGCUGAUUCACUUCGGUGUCCUUAGAGACCUUGAGCCAGAGGAACACAACUGAACUACAUUCACAACUCAUCUCAAUGCAAGGUCACUUCAGAAGUCUGGAGGCUUCUAUAACAGCACACAGGAUCAAAGGAAGGACCCUCCACUCAAGAAUAAUCUGUCAUGACUGCGGCUAAUAUCAACGUUAUCCAAGACCUUAUUUAGGUUCCUUGAAAGCUGGUAUCUGUGCAGCUUCCAUUCAGGUGGAAGGUAUUGAAAUCAUCAUAGACUGGCAAAAAUGGCCAAGCGCAGUGGCUUACACCUGUAAUCCCAAUACUUUGGGAGGUCAAGGCGGGCAGAUCACUUGAGCUCAGUAGUUCGAAACCAGCAUGGGCAACAUGGUAAAACCCUGUCUCAACUGAAAUAAAAAAGUUAACUGGA